AAAUAAGUUGAUUAAAACUUACCAAUGGAACAAAACUCAGAGAAACAGAUCCAUCGUUCUCCCUCUCUCCCAUCUUCCAAUCCCUAGCUCUGUAACUCUCAGCCGGCGCGCCUCCGUCAUUCCGCCGCCACCGGUAAAGGUCAUCGUUCCCCCUUCAUUAUCGAAACCCUCCACUCACGAUGUGUACGCACACUACCGUGGUGACGUCUCCAAGGCUCAUCGAUUGCUUCUUCGCUAAGCUCAGGGAGAAAGAGCUGUAUUGAGAUGAAUCAGGUUCAAAUCGACAAAUCGUUCAAUUCAAUAAAUCAGCCAGUAUCUUAAGUGCAAAACUGGAGAGGCAAUUACUUACUACAUUGGAAAUCAGACUUGUUUGAAAUGAAGAGACGAUUAAAUGAGGAAGAUAUGUACUACGCGCUGGUCUUUCAUUGUAGAAGAACAAUAGUGUUGACAACAUACUAGGCUAGCUAACAAGAUCAAUGCCACAUGAUAUAACAGUUAUUCCCGAGGAACGUGAAGCUAUAGAAAGGAAUAGGAGGGAAUCUAGCGCGUUAGCAUCAGAGUAGGGAGAACUGUGUUAUUGCUCCCAAAUGCCCUGUUACUGGAAAGAGAAUUCAAGAGAAAUACAUAAAGUGAAAUAGUCAAGGAUGUAGAGUGAAUAGCAAAAGGGGCUGCCCGGAUGGUUAUGUUUGCUAGCUGCUAAACCCUAAUGAUCUGAUUGAAUGACAAUCAUCCAAUUUGGCCUUAUCUGUUUUGUGAAGUUCAUUCGAAAACUCUUGAGGAAUGUUAACAGCGUGUGGAUUGCGGCCUAGCAAGGUGCAACUUCACUCACGAACAUAUCGUUUUGUAUGAAAACAGAGAAGCUGAACCAGGUCUGCUCCUUGGUGUCUAUGUAGCCAUUUUUAACACUAAUAUUAGUUAAGUUAGUGUUAGUUUGUGUUCUGUAUAAGGUAAAGGUCGAGUCUUGGUUAUAAGGCUCUACGUUUUCGAUGUAUGAAGAUAUUUGGUUGGUUGGUAAAGGUGAAAUCUUGCAGAAUUAAUGAUAGAUUUGGGAUA